CACCCCUCGAACCCCCCGGGUUUGGUGUUGGGCGACGCCCGCCGCGGCCAGCCUCAAAGCGAAUGACGGUUCCCAACCAACCUCGGGCGUACAAGCAUCGCGACGGUGGACGGUUGGGGGCUGGUCUUAAAUCUUUUAUAAGCUUCUGAA
rnacentral:misc_RNA from 1 species